AACGUAGGAGGCAAGCGUUAUCCGGAGUUACUGGGCAUAAAGGGCGUGCAGGCGGUUGACUAAGUUCGUCGUGAAAUCGCCCGGCUUAACCGGGCGGGGUCGAUGAAUACUGGUGAACUAGAGGACGGUAGAGGCGUGUGGAGUUCCGGGUGUAGUGGUGAAAUGCGUAGAUAUCCGGAGGAACACCAGUGGCGAAAGCGACACGCUGGGCCGUACCUGACGCUAAGACGCGACAGCAUGGGGAGCGAACGGG
rnacentral:misc_RNA from 1 species